rnacentral:misc_RNA from 1 species
GUAAAAGUCGUAACAAGGUUUCCGUAGGUGAACCUGCGGAAGGAUCAUUAAAAAAUGGAACUCUUUCAAAGAGUUCAUUAAUAAUCCCUACCCUUUGUGAAUUUGUUUGUUUGAAAUAAUUUUUUUUAUUAAAAAAUUAUUGAAUGUCUUUCCCUGUUUUUUGGUGGAAAAAUGGUAAAACGUUUGGAAACCGAAAAUCAGGGGAAUGGUAUUCAUAUAAUUUUUUAUUAAAAGACCUUUUUUUUAAAUUAAACUUUUUGUAUUCAUUUGUCUAAAAAUUAUUUUUAUAAUAUAAAAACAACUUUUGACAAUGGAUCUCUUGGUUCUCGCAACGAUGAAGAACGCAGCAAAAUGCGAUAAGUAGUGUGAAUUGCAGAAUACGUGAAUCAUCGAAUCUUCGAACGCAUAUGCACUUUUUUAGUUACUAAAAAAGUAUGUCUGUUUGAGUAUCAGUAAAAUAUUCUCAUAAAAAAAUUUGUUUUUUUUUAUGGUUCUGAGUGUUUUACAACGAUAACAAGUUGUUUCACUUUAAAUUCUUUGUUAUCAAAAAAAAUCAUUUAAAAACUAAUUUAAAAGAUUUUUUUAAAAUUGGAUAAAAUUUUCCUGUAAAAAGGAAUAACCUUAAACAAUCUUAGAAAAAUUAAAAUUGGUUUGAUUUCUUUUUUGAAAUUAAAAAGGAAAAAAGUUAAAUUAACUUGAUCUCAAAUCAGAUAAGAGUACCCGCUGAACUUAAGCAUAUCAAUAAGCGGAGGAAAAGAAACUAACUAGGAUUCCCUUAGUAACGGCGAGUGAAGCGGGAAGAGCUCAAAUUUGAAAUCUUCAAGGUUUUACCUUGACGAAUUGUAGUUUAAAGAAGUGUUUUCUGUUGGUGUUUUGGUAAAAGUUCUUUGGAAUAGGACAUCAUAGAGGGUGAGAAUCCCGUAUUUGACCAUUACUUCCAGCGUUGUGAUACACUUUCAAAGAGUCGGAUUGUUUGGGAAUGCAGUCCAAAAUGGGUGGUAAAUUUCGUCUAAAGCUAAAUAUUGGCGAGAGACCGAUAGCGAACAAGUACCGUGAGGGAAAGAUGAAAAGAACUUUGAAAAGAGAGUUAAACAGUACGUGAAAUUGUCAAAAGGGAAGCGUUUGACACCAGUGUUGUUUUC